CCAUCAUCAUUUAGAGAGAGAAAAUAAGAGAGAGAAAUAUUAAAGAGAAGAGGAGAGACAGAGAAAAAAUCCUAGAGAAACAUGAGAGAGAGAGAGGCAACUUCUCUCUCUCCUUCUUUUCCUUCCAUCUUCUUUUCUUGGCCGAAUAAGGGAGCAAGGGGACUGAUGGCUUAUGGUUAAAAGUCCGGUAGCAAACAGUG
rnacentral:lncRNA from 1 species